GACCAUGUACUCAUCGCUCUUGCAGGAUGCGCUGUCUGAAAGAGCGGUUUCCAAGGCAUCAUGUACAGCGGACAGCCUCCUCUUCAGAGCUUGUUCUCUGAAGGGAGGAACAAGAAAACCAGAUGAAAAGCCUCAGGGUCUGCACUCCUGUGAAACCACGGGGGUCCUCGAUGUAUGAAUAAUUUAGAAUCACUAAGAAACGUUGUAUUCAUUCAGCAGUAAGAGCCCAGUUGGAAAAAUACAAAGAAGCCUCCCAUAGAAAUAAUAUUUCUUUUUAUAUCACUGUUUAAAUGGCCUCGGCUUGCGUAUGAACAUAACCACAGUGGAAAUAAACGUUUAAAGCAAUGCGUCACUUUUACGUAUUCACUGUUUAUGGUUAGUGAAAAAAGAAGGACAAAUGGUUUGUGAAAAAAGGACACUGGUAAAAGGGUCAGAAAAUAAUAGCUUGUUCACAAUAUCUUCGCCCUCCUAGACCUAAAACAAUCUCACACAGAGUAUUCUGGUACAAACCCCCUUGGUAAUCAGCAGUAGUAGAGACCUAGCAGGCUUUAAUGUCCAAAGUCUGCAUUUCUGCUGAUAAUGUUCCUUAGCAACAAUCCAAAACCUGGCAACAAAUGCCCGAAAGGACCCAUUUGUCUGAUUUUACUGACUACCAUCAGUUGGUUUGCUUCAAGUGCAAAUACGCAGAUCCAUUCAGACAACUUUACAACCUGGAUUGUUCUCUGGUUCCACCUGAAAGUGUUCCUCUUAUAGAUAGUUAAUACACUCUAAAAGAAAAAUAAAAUAGAACAAACUUAAUUUCUAAGCGUGCAUGUCAUUUGGCGGGUGCUUAUAUCCCAGUCUCCUCUGCACCAUCUGCUGUUGAGAAGGAAGUUGACAGCUCUUCUGUUCCUGGGCUCCUGUGCCAGGACUUUGGACUGCCAUGUUGCUGCCUGUCAUUUACCUGCUCUGAGAGGAGAAAAUCUUACUGGGCUUGGACAACAGCUGCCCAGCGAGGCUCUUUCUGAGCCAGGGGACGCCAAUGGAGAGACGUCCCUGUCAGAAGGGGUUUUGGGUUUUCUGAAGAGCAGUGGAGAACUGGG